UAUACAAUUUAACCCUGGUUGAAGUUGAAAUAUAUCUAAUGAUGCUAUAUACGUUUAUUAUAUUAUGCUAAUCCUUGAGCAUAUAAAUUUGAGGUGGUUGUAGUAGUGAGAUCUAUCGUUAUAAAGAAAUUUAGUGAUGGUUGUUAGAUAGUAGAAGAGGCUAAAGCACAGUGCCAGCAGCCGCGGUUAUACUGUAAUUCUUCUUAUUUCUUUUUUGGUUAAAACUUUUAUUGAAAUUUAAAUAAAAUUGGUUGGUUAAAUAGGUUUUUUUUUGAGAAUACUUCAAUGAUGUGUAAAGUUCCAGUAUAAAGACAGGGAUUAGAUACCCCUUUAUUAGGAUAAAAAAUUUUUGUCCACGGUUUCAAACUGAAAGGGUUUGGCAGCAAACUAAAUUCUUCCGGGGGAAGGUGCUUAUUAAAGAGAUGAUCCGCUUAUUAAUUUACUAUAUCUAGUGUUAGUGUAUAUCCGUUUGUAUAUUCACGCUUAGAGGUCAUAAGUGGGUAAAUAUUAAAUAAUU
rnacentral:rRNA from 1 species